GGGUCAGUAGGUUGGUCGUGCCACCGGUACGUACUGGUCUCACUGAUUCCUCCUUCCUGAAGAACCGUAAUGCCAUUAAUUUGGUGUUGCGGGGAAACAGGACUGUUACUUUGAAAAAAUUAGAGUGUUUAACGCAAGCUAACGCUUGAAUACAUUAGCAUGGAAUAAUGAAAUAGGACGAUCGAUCCUAUUUUGUUGGUUUCUAGGAUUGACGUA
rnacentral:rRNA from 1 species